AUUUAAAUUGAGCUUGCCAUUACUUUGCCUGAUCCUGUCUGAUGUCAGAAGCUAAACAGGGUUGAGCUUGGUUAGUACUUGGAUGGGAGACUGCCUUGGAAGACCAGGGGAUAGACU
rnacentral:rRNA from 12 species